CACGUAGGGGCCAAGCGUUGUCCGGAUUUAUUGGGCGUAAAGAGCUCGUAGGCGGCUCGGUAAGUCGGGUGUGAAACCUCCAGGCUCAACCUGGAGACGCCACCUGAUACUGCUGUGGCUAGAGUCCGGUAGGGGAGCGUGGAAUUCCUGGUGUAGCGGUGAAAUGCGCAGAUAUCAGGAGGAACACCGGUGGCGAAGGCGGUUCUCUGGGCAUUACCUGACGCUGAGGAGCGAAAGUGUGGGGAGCGAACGGG
rnacentral:rRNA from 1 species